UGGCAACUCUUGGUGCUGUGAGGGGACAGGGGACAGGAGGUCUGGCUACACUGAAGGCCAUAACUCUUCUCUCCAAGGUGCCUGACUAACUUAAGCUGAUCUUUGCUCUGGACCUCAAGCCCAGUUGCUAAUUCCUCCUAUAAGUAAUGGCUUUCCUUACCUAUUUUAUGCAAACGAGGAUGGAACCAGCAGUCUCCCAUGCUCUGCAUGUGGUCUACCACUGGGUUUAUGGCCAGCCUCACAGUGUUUUAAAUAAUAUGGUUCCAACAGCACCUGGUUUUAUCUAUUGGCCAUGGGUCCAUCACCAUUUUAAUAAGAGACUCCAAAUAGCUACAUAUCCUAUGUGGUUGCUCUUUAAGAAAUUUCACUUUAAGAAAUAAUCUCUUUGAAGAAAGUGAUGUGACUGACAUUUAAAGGGUACAAAUAGUUCUGUUCCAGAAUGUCCAUGUUUUGACUUGUGACAUGACAUUGUCAUCUAUAAGUACACUGGACCGCAUCCAGCUGUUCUGGGAGGUGUGGAGACUCAGGUGCUCUGAUCUCCAGCACCUCAGGUCUGUAACACUUCCUCUUACCCUAUGUUUUAGAAGGCGUCCCUUCUGUGAUGACAUUUAACAUCUUCACCAAAACCAAGUGUCUUCCAUCUCGCCUUCUUGACCCUCCACAUUUGCAGGCACAUACUCUACAAAACAUUCCUUAACAUUGACCCUCAGUAGAACAGGGUGCUGUAUUCCUGUUAUACAUUAAAACUGCUGAAGCCUUCUGUGCUUAAAUAAAUGCCAUGUCCAGCUCUCUGUCAGAAGUACCUUGCAGCUAGCUCUAGUCUUUCUGUUCCACCAAAACUACUUCUGUUUUCAGAGAUCAGAGCUCUUUCCCUUGCACACUACCAUACACACUUAGCUUCUGUAAAUUCAGCUGUCAGUCUGUGUCCCACUUCCUCUGGCUUACCAAGCCCCCAUCCCCUCCCAUGUUCCCACCCGUGUUCCCAUUAGUGGCCUUGACUGGCUUGCAUCGGUGCUUCACCUGUAUUGCAACCUCCAACGUGUUUUGCUCUCCUUUGCCCUCCUCCCACACAACUGGCAGAGCUCUAAUGCUUCAGAUGUUGGACAUGGUGUUUUUGUCCCCAGAGGGCCAGAAGCAGCCAGAAGGCCAAAGCUUGGAUAUUUACCUGGAUGUGUUGUAAUGCCUCAUUCUGAUGCCAGAAACAUUUGAGUCCAGACUUCGUCUGAACCAAUAUUUACAUGCAUAAUAACCCAUGUGUGAAAUGGUGGAAUGCAGUUCCCCAGAAUGAGUCGAUAGGGCCAGCCACUGUGAUGUUGACCACAAGCACUUGACCUAAGGAAGGCCGUUCUUUAGUCUCCUCCACCCCUUUAGAACUUGUGUUUCCCUUCCAAGUAUUACUUCCUCAGCACAUAGAGUGAGUCUCGUGCUGUCAACCUGGUAUCCAGGAUUUCAAAACUGCACUUUGGAACUUCUCUGUCCGAGGAGCCACUUGGAUGACUAAGGUGGGACAGCAACAUGAGCAACAUGCUUGAUUGUAAUUUAGGAUUAUGGUUGUUGGAAGAUGCUGACAUUGACAAGACCAGAGAGGACUUCCCACAGCAAAGGCCUGUGCUCAACUGUGAUGACAACACUCCAGCAACUCACCUGGGAACAGAUGUUAAAUCCUGGCUGGCUGAGCAGACUUGGACUUCGCACUGUCAUUUCCUGACCCUGUGACCCUUGGCCAGUGUCUUCUUUUCUUCUGCUGUACAAAUGGAGAUGCUUCCGCGAAAUGGUUUGUACAAGAAUUAAAGACCUCAGUGCUAAGUAAACGGUUAGUAAAUGCUUGUGUGUGUACCUGCCGUGCCCACGCAGGUGUGUAUAUUUAAACAAGGCAACCCUUUACUGCGGGCACGGCUAUCAUUUGGGCCUUAGAAUGUCUGAUUAGAGUCUCUUGAAAUACUGAUCUUAAAGGUUCGGAUUCUUCAGACCUUAGCCUUGGGUUGUGAAUCAGUAGGUCUGGCAGUGGGCAGAGACUCAGGCCUGAAACAUUCUGUUUCUCUGCAUCACAGAGAGUUGGAGUCUCCAGCCAAUAGAAGACAGGUGUCCAGCCUUGGAAACUGCAUUCCAGGGAACUGAACCAAAGCAACAACAACAACAACAACAACAACAACAACAACGCUUGAUGGUGUCAAUGGAAAAGGUGACAGGAGCAUCAGGCGAGCUCAUGUCUACACUUGACAUUGGUGUGUCCUUUAAAAGGCUGCCUGCCCAUAUGGAUUCAGUAAGAGAAAGAACCUGGCCAUAUCAUUGCUUUGGCAACAAGCUCCGAGUGUGGCGAGACCUGAUUUUUGUUCUUUUCAUCUAGUGUGGACUAUAGUUAGUGUGUGACCUUUUCAUUUCAUACUUUUCCCCUUUGUUUGGGGUGUGUUUGUUUCCGAAUGGUUAAAAUCAAUCAAUCAAUCAAUCAAUCAAUCAAUCAAUCAAACAAACAAAUAAACAGUCAUCAAGAGGAUAUUUGAAACAGUUUGUAGAACAAACCUAGGUUAAACACUGACACCUGCCCAGAGGGUCAACAGGAAAAGUUUUUUUCACUUCCCUGAGUGGGGUGAGAUCCAAAAUCUUGAAGGAUUCACUCUGGAAGGAGACUCUAACAGGAGGAGCAUGUGGACAAGCAGGUCUUCCUUCUAGAAGCCCCUGGGCCCCCACUUGAGCAGCCAAGGUGCCUGAGAACCAGGUCUGGGUAGGUUUGCCUGGGGUAGGUUUGCCUGGGGUAGGUUUGCCUAGGGUAGGUCUGAGUGUGCAGAGCAGC
rnacentral:sRNA from 1 species